GUGAAUCAUCGAAUCUUCGAACGCAAAUGGCGCUCUUGGGUUCUCCCAGGAGCAUGUCUGUCUGAGUGUCU
rnacentral:rRNA from 1 species